ACACAGGAGAGGAGGUGGUCCGACGUUGAAUAGCUGCUGGACUUGUGAGGUGGCUGUCCGCUAGUACCACGGGACGAUCUCCGACGGCCGAUGGAAGCCGGAAUGUGGUACCGGCGAAUUCCAGGCAGUCACCCGCGAUCCCCGGGUUCGGGCCCGUCCAGCCCGAUCACGCGCCGUCAGGUGCGGCCCGGGGAUCACGCAUGUC
rnacentral:sRNA from 1 species